UCCAAUCGCCUAACGAUUGGCCCGCAGGAGAUACCGCUGGACUAGGAGGCGGGAGAGGUGGACGGUACUCCGCGGGUAGGGGUAAAAUCCUUUGAUCCGCGGAAGACCACCAGUGGCGAAGGCGGUCCACCAAAACGCGCUCGACGGUGAGGGAUGAAAGCUGGGGGAGCGAACCGGAUUAGAUACCCGGGUAGUCCCAGCCGUAAACGAUGCGAGCUAGAUGAUCCCAUCGCAAAUCGCGAUCGGAGUGUCGCAGGGAAGCCGUUAAGCUCGCCGCCUGGGGAGUACGGUCGCAAGGCUGAAACCAUCGAAGUUAGUGUAUGCUUUUCUUCGAUGGCAGCUAACUUAAAGGAAUUGGCGGGGGAGCACCACAAGGGGUGAAGCCUGCGGUUCAAUUGGAU
rnacentral:rRNA from 1 species